rnacentral:rRNA from 1 species
AUUGAACGCUGGCGGCAGGCCUAACACAUGCAAGUCGAGCGGAUGAAGGGAGCUUGCUCCUGGAUUCAGCGGCGGACGGGUGAGUAAUGCCUAGGAAUCUGCCUGGUAGUGGGGGAUAACGUCCGGAAACGGGCGCUAAUACCGCAUACGUCCUGAGGGAGAAAGUGGGGGAUCUUCGGACCUCACGCUAUCAGAUGAGCCUAGGUCGGAUUAGCUAGUUGGUGGGGUAAAGGCCUACCAAGGCGACGAUCCGUAACUGGUCUGAGAGGAUGAUCAGUCACACUGGAACUGAGACACGGUCCAGACUCCUACGGGAGGCAGCAGUGGGGAAUAUUGGACAAUGGGCGAAAGCCUGAUCCAGCCAUGCCGCGUGUGUGAAGAAGGUCUUCGGAUUGUAAAGCACUUUAAGUUGGGAGGAAGGGCAGAAAGUUAAUACCUUGCUGUUUUGACGCUACCAACAGAAUAAGCACCGGCUAACUUCGUG